rnacentral:rRNA from 1 species
AUUAGAGUUUGAUCCUGGCUCAGGAUGAACGCUGGCGGUCUGCUUAACACAUGCAAGUCGAACGGGGUAGAAAUACCUAGUGGCGGACGGGUGAGUAACGCGUGAGAAUCUGCCAACAGGUUGGGGACAACAGUGGGAAACCGCUGCUAAUACCGAAUGUGCCGAAAGGUAAAAGAUUUUUUGCCUGUUGAUGAGCUCGCGUCCGAUUAGCUAGUUGGAGUGGUAAAAGCACACCAAGGCGACGAUCGGUAGCUGGUCUGAGAGGAUGACCAGCCACACUGGGACUGAGACACGGCCCAGACUCCUACGGGAGGCAGCAGUGGGGAAUUUUCCGCAAUGGGCGAAAGCCUGACGGAGCAAGACCGCGUGAGGGAGGAAGGCUCUUGGGUUGUAAACCUCUUUUCUUGGGGAAGAAUACUGACGGUACCCAAGGAAUCAGCAUCGGCUAACUCCGUGCCAGCAGCCGCGGUAAUACGGAGGAUGCAAGCGUUAUCCGGAAUUAUUGGGCGUAAAGCGUCCGUAGGUGGUGGUUCAAGUCUGCUGUCAAAAACUGGGGCUUAACCCCAGAAAGGCGGUGGAAACUGAACGGCUAGAGUGUGGUAGGGGCAGAGGGAAUUCCCGGUGUAGCGGUGAAAUGCGUAGAGAUCGGGAAGAACACCGGUGGCGAAAGCGCUCUGCUGGACCACAACUGACACUCACAGGACGAAAGCUAGGGGAGCGAAUGGGAUUAGAUACCCCAGUAGUCCUAGCUGUAAACGAUGGAUACUAGGUGUUGUGAGUAUCGACCCACAGUGCCGUAGCUAACGCGUUAAGUAUCCCGCCUGGGGAGUACGCACGCAAGUGUGAAACUCAAAGGAAUUGACGGGGGCCCGCACAAGCGGUGGAGUAUGUGGUUUAAUUCGAUGCAACGCGAAGAACCUUACCAGGGCUUGACAUGCCGCGAAUCUUUGGGAAACUAAAGAGUGCCUUCGGGAGCGCGGACACAGGUGGUGCAUGGCUGUCGUCAGCUCGUGUCGUGAGAUGUUGGGUUAAGUCCCGCAACGAGCGCAACCCUCGUCCUUAGUUGCCAGCAUUGAGUUGGGCACUCUGGGGAGACUGCCGGUGACAAACCGGAGGAAGGUGGGGAUGACGUCAAGUCAGCAUGCCCCUUACGUCCUGGGCUACACACGUACUACAAUGGUCAGAACAAAGGGCAGCCAGCAGGCAACUGCCAGCCAAUCCCGAAAAACUGGCCUCAGUUCAGAUCGCAGGCUGCAACUCGCCUGCGUGAAGGCGGAAUCGCUAGUAAUCGCCGGUCAGCAUACGGCGGUGAAUCCGUUCCCGGGCCUUGUACACACCGCCCGUCACACCAUGGAAGUUGGCCACGCCCGAAGUCGUUAUCCCAACCCGCAAGGGAGGGAGACGCCGAAGGUGGGGCUGAUGACUGGGGUGAAGUCGUAACAAGGUAACCAAU